AUUUGUAAAAUGAUUAAGAAAUAUGGUUAUUUUUAUUUUUUUUUUCUAUUUGAAAUUCCCGCCACGUUUUUCUUGAAAGCUGAGGAGAAAUCCCCAAAUUGGAACUUCAGCCUUUUAAAUUUUCUCGCCAUUCCACUUACUUCUUUCGCAUGAAAAAUCCCCAAAUUCGAUCGCUAUUGUUGCCUUUUAAAAUUUCUCGCCAUUCCACUUUGCGAAGGUGUUUGGGGUUCCUUAUUUUGAGGGUAAAAGGACUUUUGAAGGGCAAAAGGACUUUUGAAAAGUGUUUGGCUUUCCUUUUGAAGGGCAAAAGUCCUUUGGAUUUGCCAAAAGUCAGGAUUUCCUGACUUAUUUUGGGCAAAAGUUGAAAAUAAGCUAAGCCAAACAUGCCCUGCAAAAACGAAGCGUUGCCUAGAAAAUCGGUUAAUGUUGCCGUUAAUUGCGACAUCAACGCCAUUGAUUGCUUUCACGCUUUGCUACCCAAGAUGAGUCAUAAGUCGAUCUGUGCCCCUUUUUAUUCUCUCGAUUUCUACCUUUCUCUCGGUCCUUUCUCAGUUUCCAUCAUCGAUUUCUUGCGUUUAAAUCCAUUUAUAUUUCUGGCCUGUUGUGGUGCGGAUCUCAGACCUGCGGUGGUGCGGACGUGCGGUGCUGGUCUACUUCUCCGGUGGGCAGUGACGGACAACUGGCGGUGGUUAACUGUUGCAGAAUUCUAGGUUUGUGGUGGUCCUGGUCGACGCAGGAGACAGUAGCCAAGAGGAGGUUUACUGUAUACAUUUAAUCCUUACAGAACAUAAAGCUUGGUCAAGUUGUAUCUUUCUUUGCUAAACUUUUACAAGUAUAUUUGUUGACUUUAUGAGGCAUUUAAGUUUUGAUUCUCUUAUGCUAAAGUUGAAUGGUUUUACCAAUUUUAUAUUCAGUCAUGAGUAGUAGUACUCACUGUUUAGUUUUAGGUUUUAUAAUUUAAGAAACCAAGUAAAUAACAAAAUAAAGUGCUAUUUUCAUAUGUAACUGUGAGUUUGUCAUUUAGAGAAAGAUAUGUAACUGUGGUUGCAGAACAAGUUGUUCCA